rnacentral:rRNA from 1 species
UUGAUCCUGGCUCAGGAUGAACGCUAGCUACAGGCUUAACACAUGCAAGUCGAGGGGCAGCGGGAUUGAAGCUUGCUUCAAUUGCCGGCGACCGGCGCACGGGUGAGUAACGCGUAUCCAACCUUCCGUACACUCAGGGAUAGCCUUUCGAAAGAAAGAUUAAUACCUGAUGGUAUGAUGAGAUUGCAUGAUAGCAUCAUUAAAGAUUUAUCGGUGUACGAUGGGGAUGCGUUCCAUUAGGUAGUAGGCGGGGUAACGGCCCACCUAGCCGACGAUGGAUAGGGGUUCUGAGAGGAAGGUCCCCCACAUUGGAACUGAGACACGGUCCAAACUCCUACGGGAGGCAGCAGUGAGGAAUAUUGGUCAAUGGACGAGAGUCUGAACCAGCCAAGUAGCGUGAAGGAUGAAGGUCCUACGGAUUGUAAACUUCUUUUAUAAGGGAAUAAACCCUUCCACGUGUGGGAGCUUGUAUGUACCUUAUGAAUAAGCAUCGGCUAACUCCGUGCCAGCAGCCGCGGUAAUACGGAGGAUGCGAGCGUUAUCCGGAUUUAUUGGGUUUAAAGGGAGCGCAGACGGGUCGUUAAGUCAGCUGUGAAAGUUUGGGGCUCAACCUUAAAAUUGCAGUUGAUACUGGCGUCCUUGAGUGCGGUUGAGGUGUGCGGAAUUCGUGGUGUAGCGGUGAAAUGCUUAGAUAUCACGAAGAACUCCGAUUGCGAAGGCAGCACACUAAGCCGUAACUGACGUUCAUGCUCGAAAGUGUGGGUAUCAAACAGGAUUAGAUACCCUGGUAGUCCACACGGUAAACGAUGGAUACUCGCUGUUGGCGAUAUACUGUCAGCGGCUUAGCGAAAGCGUUAAGUAUCCCACCUGGGGAGUACGCCGGCAACGGUGAAACUCAAAGGAAUUGACGG